rnacentral:rRNA from 1 species
AAUGAACGCUGGCGGCAUGCCUAACACAUGCAAGUCGAACGAGACCUGCGGGGCUAUUGGCGCACGGGUGCGUAACGCGUGGGGACCUUCCCUUAGGUUGGGAAUAACUCCCCGAAAGGGGUUCUAAUACCGGAUAAGUGCUUCGUACCAAAGAUCUAUCGCCUUUGUAUGGGCCGGCGUUGGAUUAGGUAGUUGGGAGGGUAAAAGCCUACCAAGGGGACGAUCCAGAGAUUGUCACAGAGGCUGAUCAGCCACACUGGGACUGGGACGCGGCCCAGACUCUUACGCGAAGGAGCAGUGGGGAAUAUUGGAAAACGGGCGAAAGCAUGAUGGAGCUAUGCCGGGUGAGUGCUGAAGGUAUUAGGGUUGUAAAGCUCUUUUAACCGGGCUGAUACUGACAGUACCUAGAGAAUAAGCACCGGCUAACUACGUG